rnacentral:rRNA from 1 species
AGGGGGCUUAGUGGUGGGGUGACUGCGUACCUUUUGUAUAAUGGGUCAGCGACUUAUAUUCUGUAGCAAGGUUAACCGAAUAGGGGAGCCGGAGGGAAACCGAGUCUUAAUUGGGCGUUAAGUUGCAGGGUAUAGACCCGAAACCCGGUGAUCUAGCCAUGGGCAGGUUGAAGGUUGGGUAACACUAACUGGAGGACCGAACCGACUAAUGUUGAAAAAUUAGCGGAUGACCUGUGGCUGGGGGUGAAAGGCCAAUCAAACCGGGAGAUAGCUGGUUCUCCCCGAAAGCUAUUUAGGUAGCGCCUCGUGAAUUCAUCUCCGGGGGUAGAGCACUGUUUCGGCUAGGGGGCCAUCCCGGCUUACCAACCCGAUGCAAACUGCGAAUACCGGAGAAUGUUAUCACGGGAGACACACGGCGGGUGCUAACGUCCGUCGUGAAGAGGGAAACAACCCAGACCGCCAGCUAAGGUCCCAAAGUCAUGGUUAAGUGGGAAACGAUGUGGGAAGGCCCAGACAGCCAGGAUGUUGGCUUAGAAGCAGCCAUCAUUUAAAGAAAGCGUAAUAGCUCACUGGUCGAGUCGGCCUGCGCGGAAGAUGUAACGGGGCUAAACCAUGCACCGAAGCUGCGGCAGCGACGCUGAUGCGUUGUUGGGUAGGGGAGCGUUCUGUAAGCCUGCGAAGGUGGCCUGUGAGGGUUGCUGGAGGUAUCAGAAGUGCGAAUGCUGACAUAAGUAACGAUAAAGCGGGUGAAAAGCCCGCUCGCCGGAAGACCAAGGGUUCCUGUCCAACGUUAAUCGGGGCAGGGUGAGUCGACCCCUAAGGCGAGGCCGAAAGGCGUAGUCGAUGGGAAACGGGUUAAUAUUCCCGUACUUGGUGUUACUGCGAAGGGGGGACGGAGAAGGCUAUGUUGGCCGGGCGACGGUUGUCCCGGUUUAAGCGUGUAGGUGUGUGUUCCAGGUAAAUCCGGUUCACUUUAACACUGAGGCGUGAUGACGAGGCACUACGGUGCUGAAGCAACAAAUGCCCUGCUUCCAGGAAAAGCCUCUAAGCAUCAGGUAACAUCAAAUCGUACCCCAAACCGACACAGGUGGUCAGGUAGAGAAUACCAAGGCGCUUGAGAGAACUCGGGUGAAGGAACUAGGCAAAAUGGUGCCGUAACUUCGGGAGAAGGCACGCUGACACGUAGGUGAAGUGAUUUACUCAUGGAGCUGAAGUCAGUCGAAGAUACCAGCUGGCUGCAACUGUUUAUUAAAAACACAGCACUGUGCAAACACGAAAGUGGACGUAUACGGUGUGACGCCUGCCCGGUGCCGGAAGGUUAAUUGAUGGGGUCAGCGCAAGCGAAGCUCCUGAUCGAAGCCCCGGUAAACGGCGGCCGUAACUAUAACGGUCCUAAGGUAGCGAAAUUCCUUGUCGGGUAAGUUCCGACCUGCACGAAUGGCGUAAUGAUGGCCAGGCUGUCUCCACCCGAGACUCAGUGAAAUUGAACUCGCUGUGAAGAUGCAGUGUACCCGCGGCAAGACGGAAAGACCCCGUGAACCUUUACUAUAGCUUGACACUGAACAUUGAGCCUUGAUGUGUAGGAUAGGUGGGAGGCUUUGAAGUGUGGACGCCAGUCUGCAUGGAGCCGACCUUGAAAUACCACCCUUUAAUGUUUGAUGUUCUAACGUGGACCCGUGAUCCGGGUUGCGGACAGUGUCUGGUGGGUAGUUUGACUGGGGCGGUCUCCUCCUAAAGAGUAACGGAGGAGCACGAAGGUUGGCUAAUCCUGGUCGGACAUCAGGAGGUUAGUGCAAUGGCAUAAGCCAGCUUGACUGCGAGCGUGACGGCGCGAGCAGGUGCGAAAGCAGGUCAUAGUGAUCCGGUGGUUCUGAAUGGAAGGGCCAUCGCUCAACGGAUAAAAGGUACUCCGGGGAUAACAGGCUGAUACCGCCCAAGAGUUCAUAUCGACGGCGGUGUUUGGCACCUCGAUGUCGGCUCAUCACAUCCUGGGGCUGAAGUAGGUCCCAAGGGUAUGGCUGUUCGCCAUUUAAAGUGGUACGCGAGCUGGGUUUAGAACGUCGUGAGACAGUUCGGUCCCUAUCUGCCGUGGGCGCUGGAGAACUGAGGGGGGCUGCUCCUAGUACGAGAGGACCGGAGUGGACGCAUCACUGGUGUUCGGGUUGUCAUGCCAAUGGCACUGCCCGGUAGCUAAAUGCGGAAGAGAUAAGUGCUGAAAGCAUCUAAGCACGAAACUUGCCCCGA